CCUACGGGUGGCAGCAGUGGGGGAUAUUGCACAAUGGGGGGAACCCUGAUGCAGCGACGCCGCGUGGGUGAAGAAGCGCCUCGGCGCGUAAAGCCCUGUCAGCAGGGAAGAAAAUGACGGUACCUGAAGAAGAAGCCCCGGCUAACUACGUGCCAGCAGCCGCGGUAAUACGUAGGGGGCAAGCGUUAUCCGGAUUUACUGGGUGUAAAGGGGGCGCAGACGGCGAUGCAAGCCAGGAGUGAAAGCCCGGGGGCCAACCCCGGGACUGCUCUUGGAACUGCGUGGCUGGAGUGCAGGAGGGGCAGGCGGAAUUCCUGGUGUAGCGGUGAAAUGCGUAGAUAUCAGGAGGAACACCGGUGCCGAAGGCGGCCUGCUGGACUGCAACUGACGUUGAGGCCCGAAAGCGUGGGGAGCAAACAGGAUUAGAUACCCCUGUAGUC
rnacentral:rRNA from 1 species